GUUACUGCGAAGGGGGGACGGAGAAGGCUAUGUUGGCCGGGCGACGGUUGUCCCGGUUUAAGCGUGUAGGUGUGUGUUCCAGGUAAAUCCGGUUCACUUUAACACUGAGGCGUGACGACGAGGCACUACGGUGCUGAAGCAACAAAUGCCCUGCUUCCAGGAAAAGCCUCUAAGCAUCAGGUAACAUCAAAUCGUACCCCAAACCGACACAGGUGGUCAGGUAGAGAAUACCAAGGCGCUUGAGAGAACUCGGGUGAAGGAACUAGGCAAAAUGGUGCCGUAACUUCGGGAGAAGGCACGCUGACACGUAGGUGAAGUGAUUUACUCAUGGAGCUGAAGUCAGUCGAAGAUACCAGCUGGCUGCAACUGUUUAUUAAAACACAGCACUGUGCAAACACGAAAGUGGACGUAUACGGUGUGACGCCUGCCCGGUGCCGGAAGGUUAAUUGAUGGGGUCAGCGCAAGCGAAGCUCCUGAUCGAAGCCCCGGUAAACGGCGGCCGUAACUAUAACGGUCCUAAGGUAGCGAAAUUCCUUGUCGGGUAAGUUCCGACCUGCACGAAUGGCGUAAUGAUGGCCAGGCUGUCUCCACCCGAGACUCAGUGAAAUUGAACUCGCUGUGAAGAUGCAGUGUACCCGCGGCAAGACGGAAAGACCCCGUGAACCUUUACUAUAGCUUGACACUGAACAUUGAGCCUUGAUGUGUAGGAUAGGUGGGAGGCUUUGAAGUGUGGACGCCAGUCUGCAUGGAGCCGACCUUGAAAUACCACCCUUUAAUGUUUGAUGUUCUAACGUGGACCCGUAAUCCGGGUUGCGGACAGUGUCUGGUGGGUAGUUUGACUGGGGCGGUCUCCUCCUAAAGAGUAACGGAGGAGCACGAAGGUUGGCUAAUCCUGGUCGGACAUCAGGAGGUUAGUGCAAUGGCAUAAGCCAGCUUGACUGCGAGCGUGACGGCGCGAGCAGGUGCGAAAGCAGGUCAUAGUGAUCCGGUGGUUCUGAAUGGAAGGCCAUCGCUCAACGGAUAAAAG
rnacentral:rRNA from 1 species